GAAAUUUGGUAGAGACUGUUGAAGCCACCUGGCCCCAGCAGACCCCAGAAGGCAGCCACAUUCGCUGGUGCUGGGGCAAGAUUGUUGAGGGUGAAGCCUGGUGUCAGAUGUGU
rnacentral:rRNA from 1 species